rnacentral:rRNA from 1 species
AUACGGAGGAUGCGAGCGUUAUCCGGAUUUAUUGGGUUUAAAGGGUGCGUAGGCUGUGCGUUAAGUCAGGGGUGAAAUGCCGUCGCUCAACGACGGAGCUGCCCUUGAUACUGGCGUGCUGGAGUACGGAUGCCGUUGGAGGAAUGAGUGGUGUAGCGGUGAAAUGCUUAGAUAUCACUCAGAACACCGAUUGCGAAGGCAUCUGACGAAUCCGUCACUGACGCUGAGGCACGAAAGCGUGGGGAUAGAACAGGAUUAGAUACCCUGGUAUUCCACGCCGUAAACGAUGAUGACUAACCGUCGGCGAUAGACAGCCGGUGGCCAAGCGAAAGCGAUAAGUCAUCCACCUGGGGAGUACGUCGGCAACGAUGAAACUCAAAUGAAUGGGCGGGG